rnacentral:tRNA from 1 species
CAUUUGGUGGCCGAAAUUAAGCGUAAGUCUUUUAAACUUAUUAUAGUUAUAAACUUCAAAUGG